ensembl:snoRNA
UGUCCCUGCCCUGGGUAGAGUGGCAUCUGGUUGGUGGUGCCCAUCUCAUAUCAGCCAGAGACAAAGCAACCCCUUGUUCAUCCCAGCUUGUCUUUUGAUCUAUGUCCAUGCCUGGUUCAUGCCUUGGACACAUAG